rnacentral:lncRNA from 1 species
UGGUCCUCGCCCAUCGGAGCGAAAAAGGAACUGCCCCGCCCGCCAGCUAGCCGCGGGAUCACGUGCACCCUCCUCGCCAAACCAUGCCCCGCCCACCAACUGCGCCCUGGCUAUCUUCUUCUUCCUCACGAAAGAAGGAUCUGCCCAGGUUGCAGAAUCCUUCAUCGCUAGGAGAGAAGGACAACAUGGCGGCUCCCAGGAACAAAUAAGAGAAGAGAAGAGGCUUAGAGAUCACAAAAAAGACAAUAAAAAAAGUAGAUCAAAGACCAGGCAGGAUCUUCUUCUUCCUCACGAAAGUAGGAUCUGCCCAGUUUGCAGGACCUUCAUCGCCAGAACAAAAGAACAAGAGAAGAGAAGAGGGCUUAGAAAUCAGAGAGAAGACCAGAAAAAGCCAGAUUAGAAGAGAGGAGGGACGAAAAAGAAAACCUACCUUUAGGAUCCAGAGGUGAGAAGACUUGCCCAUCUUCUUCGAGAUUCUCUUUUGUAUAUCUUGCUCCUUGUAGUGAUUUCCUUGCACACAUCUUUGACUUGUAUAUUUGGUUGUCAAAAAUCAAAUGAAUCGUGCAUAAUGUGUUUAAGGAAAAACUGUGCAACCAGUAGGUUGCUUUCGUGCAACUAAGCCAAAUAAGAUAGCCAACUGAAUGAGUGCUGUGUGCCAACUCAACAGAUUAUGCAACUCUAAACCUUUUCUUGUGCAACUAACCCAGUUGUAGCAUCCAAACUAUGAGGAGGCACUGUGCAACUGGAAGUAUAAAAGUGUCAGAACUGUGCAACUUUGGCAAGAACUCAUGUAUUUGGUUGUCAAAAAUCAAAUGAAUCUUGCAUAGUGUGUUUGCGGAAAAACUGUUCAACCAGUAGAUUGCUUUCGUGCAACUAAGCCAAAUAAGGUAGUCAACUGAAUGAGUGUUGUGUGCCAACUCAAUAAAUUAUACAACACUAAACCUAUUUUGUGCAACUAACCCCGUUCUAGCAUCCAACUAUAAGCAGGAACUGUGAAACUGGAAAUAUAAAAUGGGUCAAAACUAUGCAACCUUGGCAGGAACUUGAAAAAUCUGGAAGAAGACAAACAAUAUACGAUGACGAGCGAUAUACGAUAUGUUCUAAUAAAAAACAAUCUGCAAAUAUAGUUCUUAGAAAAUAGGUUCACACACUGCCAUCACAAAAUUUGAAACACACUGCCAUCAAACCGUUGAUCUAAAUGUGCAAAUCUAACUAAAAUAGCUAUAGGCAAUUAUAGUUGAAAUCUGAUUUUGCUUCUAUCUUUGAAGUUGUUGUAGCAUACCUUGCUUGAUAUGUUCACUUGCAUUGAUCUGCAGAAAAUCAUGCCCUUAUUUUCAUGUAGCUACUGUCUGAAUCAUAGACCUGCACAUUGUAGAUAGAAAAAAUGUUUAAUAAAUUGUAGGUAUUGUAUAAAUUGUAGGAUGCCAACACAGUAUUAUGUUCUCUGUGCAACUAGAAAUGCUAAGGAUGCCAACUAAAUACAUACUCUUGUGCAACUAGAAAAAGUCUUGAGUAUGUCGACUAGUUAGAAAAGUAUUGUGCAACUAGAAAUGCUAAGGAUGCCAACUAAAUACAUAUUCUUGUGCAACUAGAAAAAGUCUUGAGUAUGUCAACUAGUUAGAAAAGUAUUGUGUAACUAGAAUUGCUGAGGAUGCCAACUAAUUGGAUACUACUGUGCAAGUAUAAAGUCUGAGGGUGCCAAAGAUACUCUUUGGCAACCCUCAAUUUUUUUGGAGAUGGGACUAAAUUAUAUACUGUUGUGCAACUAGAAAAACUGAGGAUGUCAACUAGUUGUAUAUUGUUCCUUGAAACUAGAAAUGCUGAGAAUGCCAACUAAAUGGAUACUCUUAUCCAACAAGAAAUCUUGAGGAUACCAAGUCAGAAAAAUAGUUAUUCAACACUUGCAUGACGAGAGAAAAAAAAUCAUCACACCGUCACCAAACCAAAAACCGAGUUUAUAAAAAUGACGCUGAUGCUGUUGAAAAUACUAGCUGCAUUGAGUUCUCCAGAAAAAGUACUAAUCUCAACUGUAUGAUGGCCCAGACUAGAAAGAUGGACUAGGUGUACUGUUUGUGCAAAAAGAAGCACAUAUUUGUGUAACUAAAAUAUUGGUCCAAAACCAACUUUCCUGCGGCAUGUGUGCAAAAGAAAAAUCCCAGACUAGAAAGAUGGACUGGGUGUACUGUUUCUGCAAAAAGAAAAACAUAUUUAUGUUGGGGAACGUAGCAGAAAUUCAAAAUUUUCCUACGUGUCACCAAGAUCUAUCUAUGGAGAAACCAGCAACGAGGGGAAGGAGAGUGCAUCUACAUACCCUUGUAGAUCGCUAAGCGGAAGCGUUCAAGUGAACGGGGUUGAUGGAGUCGUACUCGUCGUGAUUCAGAUCACCGAUGAUCCUAGUGCCGAACGGACGGCACCUCCGCGUUCAACACACGUACAGCUCGACGAUGUCUCCCACGCCUUGAUCUAGCAAGGAGAGAGGGAGAGGUUGAGGAAGACUCCAUCCAGCAGCAGCACAACGGCGUGGUGGUGAUGGAGGAGCGUGGCAAUCCUGCAGGGCUUCGCCAAGCACCUACGGAAGAGGAGGAGGUGUCACGGGAGGGAGGGAGGCGCCAAGGGCUCAGGUAUGGAUGCCCUCCCUCCCCUCCACUAUAUAUAGGGGCAGGGGAGAGGGGGGAGGCGCAGCCUUGCCCCCUCCUCCAAGGAAGGGGUGCGGCUAAGAGGGGGGAGGAGUCCAUCCUCCCCAAGGCACCUCGGAGGUGCCUUCCCCUUUUAGGACUCUCCCCUUUUUCCUAUAUCUUGGCGCAUGGGCCUCUAGGGGCUGGUGCCCUUGGCCCAUGUAGGCCAAGGCGCACCCCCUACAGCCCAUGUGGCCCCCCGGGGCAGGUGGCCCCACCCGGUGGGCCCCCGGGACCCUUCCGGUGGUCCCGGUACAAUACCGAUGACCCCGAAACUUGUCCCGAUGGCCGAAACAGGACUUCCUAUAUAUAAAUCUUUACCUCCGGACCAUUCCGGAACUCCUCGUGACGUCCGGGAUCUCAUCCGGGACUCCGAACAACAUUCGGUAACCACAUACAAACUUCCUUUAUAACCCUAGCGUCAUCGAACCUUAAGUGUGUAGACCCUACGGGUUCGGGAGACAUGCAGACAUGACCGAGACGUUCUCCGGUCAAUAACCAACAGCGGGAUCUGGAUACCCAUGUUGGCUCCCACAUGUUCCACGAUGAUCUCAUCGGAUGAACCACGAUGUCAAGGACUCAAUCGAUCCCGUAUACAAUUCCCUUUGUCUAGCGGUAUGGUACUUGCCCGAGAUUCGAUCGUCGGUAUACUGAUACCUUGUUCAAUCUCGUUACUGACAAGUCUGUUUACUCGUUCCGUAACACAUCAUUCCGUGAUCAACCCCUUGGUCACAUUGUGCACAUUAUGAUGAUGUCCUACCGAGUGGGCCCAGAGAUACCUCUCCGUUUACAUGGAGUGACAAAAUCCCAAUCUCGAUUCGUGCCAACCCAACAGACACUUUCAGAGAUACCCGUAGUGAACCUUUAUAGCCACCCAGUUACGUUGUGACGUUUGGCACACCCAAAGCACUCCUACGGUAUCCGGGAGUUGCACAAUCUCAUGGUCUAAGGAAAUGAUACUUGACAUUAGAAAAGCUUUAGCAUACGAACUACAUGAUCUUGUGCUAGGCUUAGGAUUGGGUCUUGUCCAUCACAUCAUUCUCCUAAUGAUGUGAUCCCGUUAUCAACGACAUCCAAUGUCCAUGGUCAGGAAACCGUAACCAUCUAUUGAUUAACGAGCUAGUCAACUAGAGGCUUACUAGGGACAUGGUGUUGUCUAUGUAUCCACACAUGUAUCUGAGUUUCCUAUCAAUACAAUUCUAGCAUGGAUAAUAAACGAUUAUCAUGAACAAGGAAAUAUAAUAAUAAUCAAUUUAUUAUUGCCUCUAGGGCAUAUUUCCAACAGUCUCCCACUUGCACUAGAGUCAAUAAUCUAGUUCACAUCGAUAUGUGAUUAACACUCAAGGUCACAUCCCCAUGUGACUAACACCCAAAGAGUUUACUAGAGUCAAUAAUCUAGUUCACAUUUACCAUGUUAUUAACACUCGAUGAGUUCUGGGUUUGAUCAUGUUAUGCUUGUGAGAGAGGUUAUAGUCAACGGGUCUGAACCUUUCAGAUCCGUGUGUGCUUUACAAAUCUCUAUGUCAUCUCUUAGAUGCAGCUACCACGUUCUAUUUGGAGCUAUUCCAAAUAACUGUUCUACUUGGAGCUAUUCUAAAUUGUUGCUCCAUUAUACGUAUCCGGUAUCUCUACUCAGAGCUAUCCGGAUAGGUGUUAAGCUUGCAUCGACGUAACCCUUUACGACGAACUCUUUUACCACCUCCAUAAUUGAGAAAAUUCCUUAGUCCACUAGUUACUAAGGAUAACUUUGACCGCUGUCCUGUGAUCCAUUCUUGGAUCACUCUUGUACCCCUUGACUGACUCAUGGUAAAGCACACUUCAGGUGCGGUACAAAGCAUAGCAUACUGUAGAGCCUAUGUCUUAAGCAUAGGGGACGACCUUCGUUCCUUUCUCUUUAUUCUGCCAUGGUCGAGCUUUAAGUCUUAACUUCAUACCUUACAACUCAGGAAAGAACUCCUUCUUUGACUGAUCCAUCUUGAACACCUUCAAGAUCACGUCAAGGCAUGUGCUCAUUUAAAAGUACUAUUAAGCGUUUUGAUCUAUCCUUAUAGAUCUUGAUGCUCAAUAUUCAAGUAGCUUAAUCCAGGUUUUCCAUUGAAAACACUUUCCAAAUAACCCUAUAUGCUUUCCAGAAAUUCUACGUCAUUUCUGAUCAUUAAUAUGUCAACAACAUAUACUCAUCAGAAAUUCUAUAGUGCUCCCACUCAUUUCUUUGGAAAUACAAGUUUCUCAUAAACUUUGUAUACACCCAAAAUCUUUGAUCAUCAUCAAAGCAUACAUUCCAACUCCGAGAUGCUCACUCCAGUCCUCAGAAGGAUUGCUGGAGCUUUGCAUACUUAUUAGUAUAUUUCAGGAUAGACAAAACCUUCCGGUUGUAUCACAUACAACCUUUCCUCAAGAAUUGUCGAGGAAACAAUGUUUUGACAUCCUAUCUGCAAGAUUUCAUAAAUAAUGCAGUAACUGCUAAUAUAAUUCCAACAGGCUCUUAGCAUCGCUACGAGUGAGAAAGUCUCAUCGUAGUCAACUCCUUGAACUUGUCGAAAAACAUCUUAACGACAAGUCGAGCUUUCUCAAUGGUGACACUUACCAUCAUUGUCUGUCUUCCUUUCAAAAUCCAUAUGUACCUAACAGCCUUACGACCAUCAAGUAGUUCUUCCAAAGUCUACACUUUGUUUUCAUACAUGGAUCCUCUCUCGGGUUUUAUGGCCUUGAGCCAUUUAUCGGAAUCCGGGCCCACCAUCGCUUCUCCAUAGCUCGUAGGUUCAUUGUUGUCUAGCAACAUGACUUCCAAGACAGGAUUACGUACCACUCUGAAGUAGUACGCAUCCUUGUCAUCCCACGAGGUUUGGUAGUGACUCGAUCCGAAGUUUCAUGAUCACUAUCAUAAGCUUCCACUUCAGUUGGUGUACGUGCCACAGGAACAACUUCCUGUGCCCUGCUACACACUUGUUGAAGUGACGGUUCAAUAACCUCAUCAAGUCUCCACCAUCCUUCCACUCAACUUUUCGAGAGAAACCUUUCCUCGAAAAAGGACCCAAUUCUAGAAACAAUCCAUAUUGCUUUCGGAUCUGAAUUAGGAGGUAUACCCAACUGUUUUGGGUUUCCUAUGAAGAUGCAUUUUAUCCGCUCUGGGUUCGAGCUUAUCAACCUGAAACUUUUUCAUAUAAGCGUCGCAGCCCCAAACUUUUAAGAAACGACAACUUAGGUUUCUCUAAACCAUAAUUCAUACGGUGUCAUCUCAACGGAAUUACGUGGUGCCCUAUUUAAAGUGAGUGUGGUUGUCUCUAAUGCCUAACCCAUGAACGAUAGUGGUAACUCGAUAAGAGACAUCAUGGUAUGCACCAUAUCCAAUAGGGUGCAACUAUGACGUUUGGACACACCAUCACACUAUGGUGUUCCAGGCUGUAUCAGUUGUGAAACAAUUUCCACAAUGUCUUAAUUCUGUGCCAAACUCGUGAUUCAGAUAUUCAUCUCUAUGAUCAUACCAUAGAUCUUUGAUCCUCUUGUCACGACAAUCUUUCAACUUCACACUGAAAUUACUUGAACAUUUCAAUAAUUCAGACUCGUGAUUCAUCAAGUAAAUAUACUCAACAUCUACUCGAAUCAUCUGUGAAGUAAGAACAUAACGAUAUUCACUGCAUGCCUCAGCACUCAUUGGACUACACACAUCAAAAUGUGUUACUUCCAACAAGUUGCUAUCUUGUUCCAUCUUACUGAAAACGAGGCUUUUCAGUUAUCUUGCCCAUGUGGCAUGAUUUGCAUGUCCCAAGUGAUUCAAAAUCAAGUGAGUCAAAACAGUCCAUUUGCAUGGAGUUUCUUCAUGCAUAUACACCAAUAGACAUGGUUCGCAUGUCUCAAACUUUUCAAAAACGAGUGAGCCCAAAGAUCCAUCAAUAUGGAGCUUCUUCAUGCGUUUUAUACCGAUAUGACUUAUGUGGCAGUGCCACAAGUAGGUGGUACUAUCAUUACUAUCUUUUGGCAUGAACAUGUGUAUCACUACGAUCGAGAUUUAAUAAACCAUUCAUUUUAGGUGUAAGACCAUUGAAGAUAUUAUUCAAAUAAACAGAGUAACCAUUAUUCUCCUUAAAUGAAUAACCGUAUUGCGAUAGACGUAAUCCAAUCAUGUCUAUGCUCAAUGCAAACACCAAAUAACAAUUAUUUAGGUUUAACACCAAUCUCUUUGGUAGAGGGAGCGUGCGAUGCUUGAUCAUAUCAAGCUUGGAAAAACUUUCAACACAUAUCCCCCGCGCAGUCAAUCGUGGAGGAGGCAGCCGGGUUCACGUGGUGAUGGCGCGACACGGCGGGCCGAUCUAGAUGAGGCGGGUCUAGGACCUCAUGCCCGGAGCUCGUGGGGGUGGCGAGUGAUUGGGCCUCGUCUCUGCCGUGGUAGAGGGGGUGGAAGGACGAGCAGGGAGGGCCAUGGCCUAGAUCCAUGGCUGCACGAUGGCCUGGACCACACCAUCGCCGGGGAGGAGCCGGGUGGGGGAUCUCGGGGUCGAGCCAAAGGAGGAGGCCAGCAUGUGGAUGUGGUCAUGCGGAUCCGGUGAGGCCCGUGCACGGAGGAGGCGCUCGGAGGAGCUGACGGCGACGGCGACGACGCCUCGAUCCAGAAGAAUUGGGGGAACUGCGAGAGACAGCAGGAGGGAUGGUGGGCUCGGCCGGCUCGGUGGGUGGGGUGACGGGUGGGUGGGCUGCCGACCAGAUGACACCUGAAGUGAGGACGCACGCGCGUGAUUGAAAUCGUGCGGUUCCCAGCCGGCCGCUCGGUUACGCAAAAAAGUGCGCGUGCACUUUUUAGAUUUUAGGUUCUUUUAUAAGGGUAGUAGAUUAUAUUAUUAUUAUUAUUAUUAUUAGCAAUUAGCAAUUAGCAAAAGAGCCCGUGCGUUGCAACGGCCAACGGGAGAGAAAACAUAACACACACUCUUAACUCAACAACCAUCAGUCAAGAUCACAAUAGGUUCAACUUCUUUAUUUUUGUGAGGCAUCAUAUUUGUGUUGCCGCUUAUCCUUCUUCUCACCCUCGUCGACAAUGGCCUCGGUGUUCACACAAAACAACAAAAAACGUGUGUUGAAUAUGGUUAAUCCUAAGGCGUCUCUCUCUUCCUCCCUCCUCCCUCUCCCUCUCUCUCUCUUCCUCUCUCUCUCUCUCUCUCUCUCUCGCUCCCUUUCUCUCACUCUCGCGAUGAGAAAUCUGUUGUUUUCUCUUGCGACAUUUUUCAGAGGUAUGCAUGUGUAGUUAUCGAUGUUUUCUUUUCCGUAUAUGGUUAUAGUGGAGUGUUUAUUUGCAAUCCGGAUCAUCGCCGGUAUGAAAAAACGGAUCUUGCGCUAUAAAUUAUAAAUUUGCUUCCAUAACAAUAUUUUAAAAAUAUUUAACAGGUAAAAUUAACAUCACAUUUAGAUUCUAGAUUCCACACAUUUUCUAAUAAAAUUUCAUAUAAAAUAUGUUAAAAUCGAAGUUACGGUUUAAAAGAUACAGAUAAUUUAGAAAAUCAUUUGGUUUGACUCAAAUAUAUUCCAAAAUAAUAUUUAAAGAUACUUAAAAGGUAAAAAUAAUCUCAUAUUCAUAUUCUACAUAUUUUUCUAAUCAAAUUUCAUAUAUAACAUGUUCAAAUCGGAGUUAUGGUUUAAAAGAUAUGGAUGAUUUUAAAAUGCAUUUGUUUGACUUAAAUAUGAUCCGCGGAUGAAUUACCUAAAACACCAGGAGGGUUUUCGAAAAAUGUAAAAUAACGGUUUGGGUGUGACUUAAAUCGGGACGGCGGGUUGAUUUCAAGAAAAGACAGGGACUUUUGUGUAAAAUACAAAAAUAAUGAUUUGUUUAAACUUAAAACAGGACUGUGGGUUGAAUUCUCUGAAAUAGAGAGACUUUUCUGAAAAAUGGCAUGACGGACAAAAGAAACCCAAUUUGUUUUAUUAUUAUCAGGUAAAGAUUAGCAAAAGAGCCCGUGCGUUGCAACGGGAGAGAAAACAUAACCCAAACUCUUAACCCAACAACCAUCACCCAAGACCACAAUAGGUCCAUAUCCUUUAUUUUUGUGAGGCAUCAUAUUUGUGUUGCUGCUUAUCCUCCUUCUCACCCUCGCUGGCGAUGGCCUCGGUGUUCACACAAAACAAAAAAAAUGUGUUUGAAUAUGUUUAAUCCUAAGGCGUCUCUCUCUCUCCUCCCUCUCCCUCCCUUUCUCUCUCUCUCUCUCUCUUUCUCUCACUCUUGCGAUGAGAAAUCUGUUGUUUUCCCCUGCGAUAUUUUUCAGAGGUAUGCAUGUGUAGUUAUCGAUGUUUUCUUUUCCCUAUAUUGUUAUAGUGGGUGUUUAUUUGCAAUCUAGGUCGCCGCCGGUACGAAAGGAUAACGGAUCUUACACUAUAAAUUAUAAGUUUGCUCCCAAAAUGAUAUUUUAAAAAUAUUUAACAGGUAAAAUUAACAUCAUAUUUAGAUUCCACAUAUUUUUCUAAUAAAAUUUCAUAUAUAAUAUGUUAAAAUCGAAGUUACGGUUUAAAAGAUACGGAUAAUUUAGAAAAUCAUUUAUUUAACUUAAAUAUAUUCCAAAAUAAUAUUUAAAAAUACUUAACAGGUGAAAAUAAUCUCAUAUUCAUAUUGUACAUAUUUUUCUAAUCAAAUUUCAUACAUAACAUGUUCAAAUUGGAGUUAUGGUUUAAAAAAUAUGGAUGAUUUAAAAAAAUAUUGUUUGACUUAAAUAUGAUCCACGGAUGAAUUACCUAAAACAUCAGGGGGUUCUCGAAAAAUGUAAAAUAACGGUUCGGGUGUGACUUAAAUCCGGACCGCGGGUUGAUUUCAACGAAACAUAGGGACUUUUGUGUAAAAUAUGAAAAAACGAUUUGUUUUAUCUUAAAACAGGACUGUGGGUUGUAUUCUCUGAAAUAGAGGGACUUUUCUAAAAAAUGCCAUAACGGACAAAACAAACCCAAUUUGCUUUAUUAUUAGGUAAAGAUAAAGAUAUAUAUAUAUAUAUAUAUAUAGGUAAAGAUAAAUAUAAAGAUAAAGAUUUGUCACCCAAAAAAACCGCUAUUGUUUUUAGGAGCCAGAUACUUAAAAAUAAAAAUUUAUUUUUAGAAAUUGUUAAUUAUGUGUAUUAUAAAAAGUUCACUAUAUAUUAAGAAAAAGUUCACCCGAUCAUGGGUAGCCCAGCCCGUUGGCUCAGGUUGGGCUCGGGCUCAAUUUUCCAUCCGAAGCCUGGCUCGAAAGGCCGAAGUUACCAAAAUUAUUAAAAAUAGGUGUAAUAUUAUGUGCUAUACCCCGAAGGUAUUUAUUUUAAUUAAAAAUGUACUGUUCACAUGUUUCGAGCCAGGCUCGGGAUUUAUGCUUCGGGCUCGGCCCGGGAUAUGAUCAGGUUUACAUUGCUACUACCUCCAUGCCAAAAUAUAGUGCAAAUUAGUUUUCUUUUUAAGUUAAACUGACCAAGUUUACGGAAAAAAUUAUCAGCAUUUACAAUACCAUAUAAAUACCGCCAGGUUCAUCAUGAAGUUUAUUUUCAUACAUAUAUAUUUGGUACUUUGAGUGUUCAUAUAAUUUUUUCUAUAUAGUUGAUCAAACUUUACAAAGUUUUACUUAGAACAAAUCUAUUAUGAACUAUAUUUUAAUAUGUAGGGAUGACAUGGAGGCUCCUACACGUUGGGCAACACACUCGGCAGAAAGGAUAAUUGCCUUCUAUAUUCGAUCAGUGAAUUCAUUUGCAAUGGACAAACAUACAGGAAGACCUUUGUGCCCUCUAGACGUUUUACAAAACAAAGAAUCAAGUUUUCAGUGUUGAAUCUGCCUGUAAGUUCUAUCCUUGUCCUUCUCUAAACGCAAGUAUAGACACCCCAUUUCACCCAUCAAAAACUAACAAGUUCUGUAUAGCUGCUCAGGGAAGGCCACACCAAGAAGAAGAAGAUCCAUUAUUCCUCAACUCUUCACAAGGUGCAGGGAAAACUUCAUGCGCCUCUCCAAACACAGACU